rnacentral:rRNA from 1 species
UAGGGAAUCUUCCGCAAUGGGCGAAAGCCUGACGGAGCAACUCCGCGUGAGUGAUGAAGGUCUUCGGAUCGUAAAACUCUGUUAUUAGGGAAGAACAAAUGUGUAAGUAACUAUGCACGUCUUGACGGUACCUAAUCAGAAAGCCACGGCUAACUACGUGCCAGCAGCCGCGGUAAUACGUAGGUGGCAAGCGUUAUCCGGAAUUAUUGGGCGUAAAGCGCGCGUAGGCGGUUUUUUAAGUCUGAUGUGAAAGCCCACGGCUCAACCGUGGAGGGUCAUUGGAAACUGGAAAACUUGAGUGCAGAAGAGGAAAGUGGAAUUCCAUGUGUAGCGGUGAAAUGCGCAGAGAUAUGGAGGAACACCAGUGGCGAAGGCGACUUUCUGGUCUGUAACUGACGCUGAUGUGCGAAAGCGUGGGGAUCAAACAGG